GCUGGGUGUGGUGGCCCAUGCCUGUAAUCCCAGCUACUCGGGAGGCUGAGGCAGGAGAAUUGCUUGAACCCGGGAGGCCGAGGUUGCAGUGAGCUGAGAUCGCACCACUGCACUCCAGCCUGGAUGACAAAGCGAGACUCCGUCUCAA
rnacentral:SRP_RNA from 2 species